AUUAUAUAUUAUAUAAUGAAAUACUGAACGAAGUUUACUGUUUAGAUUUGAAGUUUAAAGUUUAGAAUUUGAAGUUUACUGUUUAGAUUUAGAUUUUUAAAAUUUCGGGUUUUGUUGACGGUGUUAACGUGUUGCUUUUUCAGCCAUUUUCUUUUUAAUUUUAUUGUCUUCUUUAAGUAAUCUUAUAUGGUACUUUAGUUGGUUAUAAAAACUCACCGUAGGGGUGAACUCAAAUAUUGUUUUUUAUAAGAUAUAAAAGUUCAUAAAUAUCAUUACAUAGAAUAACAUUUUUUUUCUCCCCAACAAGUGCGAACAUAAGGCGGUCUUACACAAAG
rnacentral:lncRNA from 1 species